rnacentral:rRNA from 1 species
UGGGGAAUAUUGCACAAUGGGCGCAAGCCUGAUGCAGCCAUGCCGCGUGUAUGAAGAAGGCCUUCGGGUUGUAAAGUACUUUCAGCGGGGAGGAAGGCGAUAAGGUUAAUAACCUUGUCGAUUGACGUUACCCGCAGAAGAAGCACCGGCUAACUCCGUGCCAGCAGCCGCGGUAAUACGGAGGGUGCAAGCGUUAAUCGGAAUUACUGGGCGUAAAGCGCACGCAGGCGGUCUGUCAAGUCGGAUGUGAAAUCCCCGGGCUCAACCUGGGAACUGCAUUCGAAACUGGCAGGCUAGAGUCUUGUAGAGGGGGGUAGAAUUCCAGGUGUAGCGGUGAAAUGCGUAGAGAUCUAGAGGAAUACCGGUGGCGAAGGCGGCCCCCUGGACAAAGACUGACGCUCAGGUGCGAAAGCGUGGGGAGCAAACA